CUCCAGGCUUGGAAAGCUGUAUGACUGCUGCUUCUGUCAUUGAACGACCAAGGGAAACAUUCGUGCUUCCCUAAUGCUGGCCUCCUGGGGGGAGUGUGUUUUAGGAGAUGGGCAGUCUGACUGAGUCAAACGGUACACACAUCACGGGCCAGUUAAUCCUGGGACUUUACCUAUCAAUGAGAUGACAGAACCGAGGCACAGAGAGGGUUGGACCCAGCUGGGACUGGAAGCCAGACCGUUGGCUCCAGUGGACAUGCCCUUUGUCUCUACUCUGUGGGCUUCUAACCUGAAACUCGCGGAUGGCAGUGGAGAGGGGAGAGAAGCCCGCUGGCAUCUGAGGACAACAAUCUCUAGAUGAACUUUCCUGUUAGCUAUGUUUCCAAGCCCGUGAAGCUCUGAGAAAGACCUGGCUUGGAGGAUGGAGCGGGGAGUGCAGGUUACUGAAGACCAGGCUUGCUGGAAGGACUGCAGGUUGGAGAUCUCCAUGAUGUUAAGCGAGGUGUCAAGGGAAGACUCCCAAAGAACCCACGCAAGCGCUACACAGGAGAAAGAAUCAGCCUGACCCAGAUUGCAAGGAUUACAACCAAAUACCGAACAUCCUGAAAACAGAGCUGCGUUCUGCCCACUGUAGUUCCCACGAUGGCCUCAGUGCAAAGUGCCAGCUGUGUGAGCUGGUGACCAGGAGCAGGGUCUCUGCCUAGAGAGGUCUACACCUGAGGAAGUGAUGGAUGGGAAACUGAGUGGAGAUCAACGGAAGAGCAAGAACUAUCUCUGUGAUUACAAUUGAAGACAAAUUGGCCUUGUUGAACUGUAGAGGUUGGGACCAAAGUAUGAAAGAAGAGGACUUAUAAUUGGGCACUUGCCUCUGGGAGGGAAAAAGGAGAUCGCAAACCUGAAGCUGUGCCAUGGGCUUGGCUUUCUGGGCAGGCGAGCCCCCAUGGACACUAACCGUCUCUCCCCUCCCUGUCCCCACUGUCUCCUGGCUGGUCUUCCUGGCCAGACGCUGGAGGGUGAUCUGCUCUUUCAUAUUGCAGUACAUGACUCAUUUCUUCCUUGCCUUCUGACUUCCUUUCUUUCAUUCCUCAUUCUUAACAGUUUUACCAGCUAUUUAAAAUGCAUACUCUUAGAAAAUAUAAUGCAAAUGCAUGGAAAAGAUGGAAACGGUGGGAAAGGAAUACAGAGAAAAUUGUCUUCCUUCCACCCCUGACUCUUGACAAAAGUUCCUUCUGAAGGACCCACCACUGAUACUAAUUUCCAGAGUAUACCUUCCCAGAGAAAUUAUAUAUAUAUAUAUCAGCAGAAGUACCUAUCUAUCCAUGUGCGCCAUAGAUGCAAGCCUGUCAUGUGCUUCCUGCAACUUGCUAUUUCAGGCAGACUCCUUCUAAAACACCAUCCUGCUUAAAAUACUUUAAUAGAUCCCAGUUCUCUGCAGAAUAAAGCUCAGUCUCUUCCUGGUCAGAGCAUCUUUCACAAUCUAACUCCCCAAAUGAGCAUUGCCUUCCAGUCCGGUGCCUCUCUCCCUCCAGCUCCCUCCUUCUUCUCUUCCCGCCCCACCCAGGUUUCAGCCUCAGUGGAUCUCCAGACCUAUAAGUCUCACUGCUGUUAGUUCCUUGGUCUAAAGACACUUGCUUUACCUCUUCUGCUUGUCAAAAACAUUCCUUUUUUUUUUUUAAAGAUUGGCACCUGAGCUAAUAUCUGUUGCCAAUCUUCUUUUUUUUUUUUCCUUCUUCUUCCCAGUGCCCCCCAGUACAUAGUUGUAUAUUGUAGUUGUAGGUCCUUCUGGUUGUGCUGUGUGGGAUGCCACCUCACCAUGGCCUGAUGAGUGGUGCUAGGUACGUGCCCAGGAUCCAAACCAGCGAAACCCUGGGCUGCUGAAGUGGAGUGUGUGAACUUAACCACUUGGCCACGGGGCCGGCCUCUCAUUCGCAUCUUUAAAGAAUCAAUUCCACAUGUCACUCUGCUGUGAAGCCUUCUCCAAAUUUCUCAGCCAUGUUGACUGUUCCCCUUCUCUAAGGACCCUCCCUGUCAAGUUCUGUAUCCAUCAGUGGGUAGUUCAUUUAUUCUCUGAACACCCUUGAAAUGCCAAAUGCUGUGCUAAGGGCAAGAGAGACCACAAGAAACAACACAGUCUCUGCCCUCAAGGAACCUAGCAGUGAAAAGCGACACACUAUGAUAGCAGUGUGUGAUGAAUACAAGGUGCUGAGAUAUGUAGAAAAGGGGCCCUUCGUGCAUACUGGGCUGGGACUAGUUGGGGAGGUUCCUAGGGGAGGCAGAACCUAAGCCAAUGCCUAAAGUUCUAGAAGGAUGAGCCACGCGAGGAGUUGUGGAGAAUGGGGAAGAGUCGAAAUGUCCCUGAGGAGCCAUGUCGCACCAAGAGAAAGGCAAGUGCAAAAGUUAAGGAGCACCAGAUUUCAUGUGACAUCAAAGCUCUCAAUCAACAUGGCAGGAGGCGAGAGCUGUGAGGGCAAAGUCAGGUAACCAAUGGAAGACAAAGUCUUGGGUAAAUGAUGAAGUACUCUUCAAACAACUGGUGUAGGAGUAAGAGACUCAUCAACUCUGGCAAUUGCAGAUUCAUGAUCUUUGACUUCCAAGUUGCAGCAGCCUCUGAAGAUUUACAGAGGAUUGGAGGAAGGGCAAAGAUCGUCACUCAACAUGAUGGCCUUUGAGUACUUAAAUUAUAGAUAUUGACAAGGUGCUGCCGGGAAAUUUUGAAGGUUAGCAUUUUGGUGAAUUGCUCUGUAAAUCCACGUACAUAUUAAUAAUGCUAAGAGCGGUAGGGAUUAGCCUCUUUUGAGGUCUUACUCUGCUUCUGACACUAUUGUAAGUGCUGUAUGUAUUAGAAUCUAUUUAAUCCCAACUACUUAAAGCAUGGGUAUACUAUUACUAUUCCCAUUUUAUAGAUGAGGAAACUGAGAUACUGAGAGGUUAAGAGGCUUUCCCGAUGUCGCAGAACUUGUUCAUGGUGGAGCCAGGAUUGAAAUCCUAGCAGUCUGGUCAGAGCCCAUGUUCCUAACCACUAGACACCACUGCCUCUCCCCAGCUGCAACUGGCGGGUGUUUGGACGAGCCUGCUGCCAAGCCUGGUGACCCAAGCCCAUUCCAGAAAAUGAGUCCUGGAAUAAAGGACAGAUCGACAGUAGGUGGAGUGUGCAUGGCCUACCCUUGGCAUCCUGAAGCAGCCGCCGUCUGAAAAUAACAAUUUGGGGAGUUCAAUUAACAGCACACUUGCAGGAACACCAAGAACAAGAGGAACUCCAUGGGUGAAUGACUUGGGGACGAAAAUCAGAAUUGAGGGGCCUUGGUUGCCAUCUUUCAAGCUGCCAUGGACAGCAACAGGCAGAGCUGAAUGUGCCCCGUUUUGGCAGGAGAGUGGUCAAGAUUAAUUACCCAGAUGGAUCGCUUUGCUCAGAAAAAGCCAGCAGAUGGUUUGAUGUAGUGACUUCUGCAACCAUAAAACCAGGAGAUGUAUAGCUAUCUCUGUGCUAAAUGGGGCCUUGAAGAGAUUAACCUCACGUAUAAAGUGAAAAUGAUAUGCAUGAGUUUCACCAGGUAGGGGAAACGACUCGCGAUCCUUGCAAAUAAUGAUUUCAUGCCAAGGAUGCUGGAUUCAAAUGUCAAACUAUGGAAAAGCUUUCUUGAAAGACAGCCUAUGGGACUGUGGGAGAAGUGCUGGAUUCUGAUAGGCAGAAGAUUAGAAUUUUAUGUCAACGCCUUGCAAAGAUCCCUGAAUACAUAAGCUUUAAGGAAAGGGGGGUAGGUUGGAAGUUCUGUUUAUUUUAUAGCCAAGAUAUAUCUUCAAAGUGAAUGUGUGUCAACGCCAUCAACCCAGCUGGGAGCUUUGUGACCUCCACCCACUCCCAGGGGAAGGUGAGAGUGAGGCCAGUUGGGGGUUGCAGGCUGGGCUGUGGUGUCUGGGUUGGCACAUCUUACUGCCUCAUCAGCCUUACUCGCUGGUCCUACACUGGGCUGCAUUUCUGCCAGCCGCACGCGGCAUUUCUAAGGUGAAGAAAGAUGUUCAAGUCACAGCUCUGCUGCUGCCUAAUGGUAUGAUGUUGGGUGAGUCAACAUCUCUGAGCCUCAGUUUAUUUGUUGAUGAAAUGGGAUAACAAUCCCCCAGAGAUGUUGUAAGGAUUGAGAUAGUGAUAUGAAAAAGCUGCAGUCACCCUGACAUGCUAGCUGUCGUCGUUAGCAGGAUUUGAGGCGUAAUUCACCUGAUAUCCUCCUUCUACUGCUGGUCCUUCACACACCGCUUUGUUUCAUUUGUUUUUACCACAUUUUAUUGCACUAAAUUAGAUAUACCGUAAAAUUUACCAUAGUAACCAUUUUUAAGUAUACAGUUCAGGGGCAUGAAAUACACUCACAAUGUUGUACACCCAUCACCACUAUUCAUUUCUAGAACUUUUCCAUCAUCUCAAAUUGAGAUUCUAUACCCACUAAAUAAUAACUCCCCUCCCUUUCUUCCCUCCCCUAAGUCCCUGGUAACCUCUUUUCUACUUUCUGUCUGUAUGAAUUUACCUCUUCUGGAUAUUUCAUGUAAGUGGAAUCAUAUGAUAUGAAACCUUUUAUGUUUAGCUUAUUUCGCUUAGCAUAAUGUCUUCAAGGUUGAUGCAGCCUUGAAACAUGAUGCAUGUUGCAGCAUGUGUCAGAAUUUCCUUCCUUUUAAAGCUGAAUAAUAUUCCAUUGUAUGUGUAUACCAUGUUUUGCUUAUUAUUCAUCUGGUGGUUGUUUCCACUUUUUGACAAUUGUGAAUAUUAUUCCUAUGAACAUUCAUGUAAAAGUACCUGAGUUCCUGCUUUCAAUUCUUUUGUUUUUUAAGGAAAUUUGACUUUUUUUUUUUUUUGAGGAAGAUUAGCCCUGAGCUAACAUCUGCUGCCAAUCCUUCUCUUUUUGCUGAGGAAGAUUGGCCCUGACCUAACAUCUGUGAACAUCUUCUUCUAUUUUAUAUGUGGGACAUCUGCCACAGCAUGGCUUGAUGAGUGGUGCAUAGCUCCACACCCAAGAUCUGAACCGGCGAACCCUGGGCCACCAAAGCGGAACAUGAGAACUUAACCACUGUGCCACCGGGGUGACCCCUCAAUUCUUUUGAGUAUAUACCUAGGAGUGGAAUUU
ensembl:lncRNA